GGACGGACAGUGGAAACGGAGAGAGAGGUGAACACAGGCACAGGAAGAGAGAGAAAGAUGGCCUGAAAACACCCCUCAGAUCUGUUCUUCUUUCCUCCCCUGCUGGAAGCCUGGGGCCUAUCACGAGUCCACCUUGACCUCAGCCAGUGUCCAGGGCCAGGAGCCGGCACCUCCACUUGGGGACUUUCACAAGACAGAGACUUGCCUGGGGAGGGGACUCGCUGCAAACACAGGGACCGGCAGAGGGAUGGUCAGGCUGAGGUCAGAACGAAAUCUGGCUGGGCACCCCUCACAAGUCGGUGUUGGUUCCAACUUCCAGACCCUGACACCACCGGGCAAUGGACUUUCGGCGUACUGAACGAGCCCGGCAUGAUUUUGCAAACAGCCUUCUUGGUGAGAGAUAAUUAAAACAGCCUCACGUGUA